AGGGCACCACCAGGAGUGGAGCCUGCGGCUUAAUUUGACUCAACACGGGGAAACUCACCCGGCCCGAACACCGUGAGGAUUGACAGAUUGAUAGCUCUUUCAUGAUUCGGUGGUUGGUGGUGCAUGGCCGUUCUUAGUUCGUGGAUCGAUUUGUCUGGUUUAUUCCGAUAACGAGCGAGACUCUAGCCUACUAACUAGUGCGGGCAUUGCCGCUGUGCCUCGCCGCACUUCUUAGAGGGAUUGGCUGCGUCUAGCAGCACGAAACAGAGCAAUAACAGGUCUGUGAUGCCCUUAGAUGUCCGGGGCUGCACGCGCGCUACACUGGCAAAGGCAGCGUGCUUGUCCGCCUCCGAAAGGAGCCGGUAAACCAAUGAAAAUUUGCCGUGAUUGGGAUCGGAAAUUGCAAUUAUUUUCCGUGAACGAGGAAUUCCAAGUAAGUGCGAGUCAUCAGCUCGCGUUGAUUACGUCCCUGCCCUUUGUACACACCGCCCGUCGCUGCCUAGAACUGAGCCAUUUCGA
rnacentral:rRNA from 1 species